CUACCUACCUACCUACCUACCUACCUAUGUCCCAGUCACCCCCCUCUAUACAGUAUUUAAUUUGAGCUUUCAUGGGUUAAGCCCACUUGAGAGAACAGGACAAAUAUUUAUACCUGGCAUCAAAACACAGAGACCGUUAUCCCUGCGCAAGGUGUAUGCCUGUGGCUUGGCCUGCAUGGAUAUCCUGCAAUUCGUGCAUUCCCGUGUCCAUCCAUGGACAGGAUCCUGAGUCGGAAAGCCGAGUUGGAAAACAUGCCUGGUUAUGCUUACAAAGUCCCAGAUUCCUCCAGCCUGUUAGAUAUUAUGACAUUCAAGAUGAGAAUGGUCAAAAUCUGGGAGCUCCGAGUCCAGGAAAAGAAACGUUGUCGGCCUCUGGACGAAACAGGUCUCUUCUUACAAGCUGAAAACAGGCUGUCUGACUGCACAACCGGAUGUGCUAAUUUACAGCCACCCGUGCUGGUGGGACGCUAUGCAAGGAUUGUGAUCUUUCUGAAAAUAAAUGGCGCUUUUGUACAUUGACUCUUGAGUAUUCUGCUGGUUAUGGACACACACAAAAAUCACACACCCCCAUCGGCACCGCUGUAGUGUCGGAGAAAACUGCUUUUGGGGUUUCUUGAAGUGCAGUGGUGGAAACAUAUCUGGAAGUAUGUUUCAUGUGUCCCAAGCUAAUGGUUGGCCUUUCCAGUCAAAGAACAAGAUUAAUCACACCCACUUUUGACCAUAUUUUGCAACGAGAUAAAGAACUGUUUAUGAUACAAUGGUACACCACCCAGAGAAGACACACCUGUGACACUUUGGGUAGACGAUUUGGGAAAGAACCAGUCUUACAGCGUGAACAUCCUGCCCCUCAUUCAUUUCUGCAUACAGUGAAUAUUCUUAGAAAUUAGGUGAGAAUACCACCAAAUUGCACCAGGAGCUCACAAGAAAUUGACAUGUGUAGGCCACAUGUGAGAAUCUUGUGAGCCAAAGCAGUUCUACAGCAUCUCAUAGGUUAUGGAUAUGGGUGUAGGAUUGGGGGUAGUUAAACUUAAGCUUCAGAUGCACAUCCUCCCCUUCCUUAUUUGUAUGUAUUUUGGGUAUUGUUGGUACAGGUUUGAAUGGCUGGCCCUGUCUUGCAACUGUCCAAAUUAAAUGUUGAGAAAGAAUGACUGUAGCACAGUUGAUAAAGAACCCUCCAUUGUGCAAAGUCUUCGGCAGCCCGGAUGUUAUAGGACAUAAAACUGAAGUCCCAUCGUCAUUUUUUGAGAAGUUGGCUAGAACAGAUUUCAGCAUCGUGCUGAAGAGCCUCCUGGAUCUCCUAGAAGACUGAGCCAGACUGAAACAGCUGGAUCUUCAAAAUGGAGGUUUGGAUGCAUGGUUUGGGGUGGCCGGCCAUUUAUUCCAAGGGUACAUCAACACAUACCAGUUCUUUAUUCAUGAUUUGAGCUCAAAGAAAUUGAUGUGUAUGCCAUGUGUGAGCAUCUUGUGAACCCAAGGGGUGCUCUGCCAGACAUGAGGCUACGGGAUCCCAUGGACACCCUUUGCUGGAAAGCCAGGUCCCUUAUCAACAGCACCAGAUCCAAACACUGAAACCAGCUGCAGAGUAAAAUACUCCAACAGGCUAUUAAGGAGCAUUAGAUUACCGUAUAUUAGAUUGUUUUACCUGGCAACCCGCUUUAAUGAAUACUAUCUCUUGCUAUUGGUUUUUGAGGUUUCUACAAAGAGCCUUGUGGCACAAUGGUUAAAACGCUGUACUGCAGCUAAAACUGUGCUCACGACCUGGGGUUCAAAUCCCAGGUAGCCGGCUCAAGGUUGACCCAGCCUUCUAUCCUUCCGAGGUCGGUAAAAUGAGUACCCAGCUUGCUGGGGGACCAAUUAACUUGUAAACCGCCCAGAGAGUGCUUGUAGCGCUAUGGGGCGGUAUAUAAAUCCAAUAAAUAAAUAAAUAAAUAAAUUCUAAGGGUAUUU
rnacentral:lncRNA from 1 species